GAGGAAGAGAAGGAGGAGGAGGAGGAGGAGGAGAAAGUGGCUCUCAGCGGCCGGUCGGAUUAAAAGUAACCAGACUCGUCCAGAAAACUGCGUCCAGGAAGGAAGUGACAGAAGACGAAUGGGAAAAGGAGAACAGCUCACAGCGUUUGAAACAUCGCGGCACCACUUUAAGAUAAAAACAUAGACCUGAAUGGCAUCAUCCAGUAUCCAAGGAAACCAUGCUUGCUUGAAGAGUGAGCAAGUGAGCAAAGAGACAAGAUUACAUGUUUAAACCAAGAAAAGAAUCUUGAAAAAGCAUUGAAAAGAACAACUUUCAAGUCAAAAGAAUCAAGGUGAAGAGAAUGGAUACUCAUGCCCAUGUGAAUUUGCUGCCCCAAGUCUACUGGAGGAUCAAGCUGCAGGUUUCAAUAGCUAUAGCCUGAAGAAUCUCUGUAAUGAACUAAAACAAUCAGUAAAAGAUCAGUUGCAGUGGAAGACAUUAUACUCUAGAUUUUUCUAGGAUUAUUAAAUUUGAAAAUGAUUUAUUCCGAAUUUUAACUUAGCUUUUAAUUUUACUAGUGUCAAAAUGUUGUUCUACUUUGGACAACUGAUUUUUCCAAUAGAGAGUCAAUAGCAUCUUUGCAGGGUGGUUUAAAAGCCAAUAAUUUAAUCCACAUUCUACUAAAACUUUUAAUAUAAGCAUUUUACCCAGAUGUAUUUUUUCCUUGUUUUAGAAAAUCUGAUUUUAAUUGCUAAAACUCAUUUUUAAAUAUUAAUUCAAUGAAAGAAAUGCUAUGGUUUUUUAUUUUUUUAUUUCCUAAACUCAAGGGAAAACAUGGAUGAAAAACA
rnacentral:antisense_RNA from 1 species